rnacentral:lncRNA from 1 species
CCCCCGAAAGUCUGAGUUCGGUCGCCGAACGUUGAAUGGUUUUGCAUGCGAUUCGGCUGCCGAAGCUGAGGCGGUUGGUCAUCUAUAAAGGGCACCGAGUCCAGAAAAAAGGAGGAGGAUUCUUCUCUCUUUCUGGCCUAGGUGAGUUCUUGAUCUCCUUGGAUUGUUUUCAUGGUUUUUCAUCAAUCUUUCAAAGUUAAACAAGUUUUAAGUAAGGUUUAUGUGUUUUU